rnacentral:tRNA from 1 species
AUAGCUCAGUGGUAGAGCACGUGCCUUACAUAUGUGAGGGCCUGGGUUCAAUUCCCAGU